AGAUCCAGGAACUUCAGAUAAAAAAGCAAAACAAAUAAACAGCAGCCGCCAACGUGUAAAACAAGCAGAUCCAGACACUUCCAAUAAAAAAGCAGAACAAACUACAGAAAGAAAGACAGCUCCAGGCACCCCAAAUGAAACAAAAGAACAAAUACAGGAGGACAAGGAAGUAGU